rnacentral:sRNA from 1 species
AGUGCGUGCGUGAGCGAGUGAGCGAAAAGGAGAGCGCGCGGCGGACGCGCCCGGGACGCGCGGCGGCACCGGGAGGCCGGGCCGAGCGGUCUUAAAACAUUUUGGAAAAAGUUGAAGCUCCCCUUUUCUACCCUCCUGAUUCUGUGCUUCUGUUGGAGUGCAUAUCACUUGAUGGCUUCUAAGACAAAUGCUAAAUUCUUGUCAGAUUACACAGCCCUCCCUAUCCUGAAGACAUUAGCUGAGAGUCUGGCACCUUUUAAAAGUCUGAUCAUCAAUUGUCUCUCUGGGCGGCCACCUAUGAGACUUCAUCUGUGUGGUUAUACCUUAUUGGUGUGGAUGUUGUCUAAAUUUCGGUAGCCAUGGCACAAGAAUAUAGUGGACUUACAGUUUCUGGCUACUACUGGUGGAAAAUGAUGGGCUCAGACAAGAGAAAGCAUGGGAUUAUGGCAACCACAGAAUCUCAGUAGUACAAGUUCCAUUCAGUUUUUUCUGAAAGAAAGCCCUCUGUUAAAGUGAAGCAAAGAAACUGUUGUGGAUUAUAACGUUUAGAAG